rnacentral:tRNA from 1 species
GCUCCAGUGGCGCAAUUGGUUAGCGCACGGUACUUAUAAUCAGUAAAUGGUGCAGUAGCCAACAUAGGAGCAAUGCCGAGGUUGUGAGUUCGAGCCUCACCUGGAGCA